rnacentral:lncRNA from 1 species
GCUAGGAUCAUAUAUGAUUAUUUGGAUACUUAUAAAACAUACACAUAAAGGAGAACUAAUUAAGGUGGGUUACCCAAUAACACGUGUCACAACUUUAUAACAUAGAGUUAUCCUAAUCAAAGUGUUUUGCAGCGGAAAACGUGUGAGAUAUACAUAUGAAGAUGUAUACUCAAGGUUACAUUUCUUGAAAUGUCAAAGGAACACCCGCUCAACACCAUUCCAUUCCAUCAGCUGCUCAACCUGCACAUUUAGAAAUACAUGCAGGGCUGAGUAUAAAAAUACUCAGUGGACAAAUGCCCAAAAUACAUUCAUGCAUACAUAUAUAAAUUGAACUGCCAUAAUAGUAACACACAGGGGUUUUUCUUAAAUGACCCGCGCUUACUAAAACAUUUCUUUCAUUUUCAUAAGAUUGGCCGGCCGACCCAUUUUCCUUCAUAUGAUCCAUAUCUGUUCCUUUCUGUCACGCGCCGGGAAGGAGGCCUCCUUACCACGGACGCCAAGACCGGUCGCAAGCGACUCGCGGUCUCCAUGAGUGUACACGUUAACCCUAGCUAGCGACCUUUGUCUAGCAUAGGAUCCCAAUUGGAUUUCCUUUAAAGUUGGCGAACCAACACAGAUAGGAUACAUACGUAAAACAUAAACAUUUUUGGCAGUCAAUCAUUUCAUAAACAUUUCAUUUUCAUUUCAUAAGAGUCAUUUAUCAUUUGGGCAUAAUAAUAAACUGAAAUUAACAGUUAAAAUCAUCUCAUGCAUAUAUUCGUAUAGGAGGCCUACGACACGCAGGGGAUCUCUAUAUACGUAUAGUAAAAGUAAUGCCCACCUGGAUAGGCAAAGCCUGAAGAUCAUACACAUAUAAACCUGUCUUGGAAAAGUAGCGCUAAUCCUCCUGGUCAUCACAAAGCCUACAAGAAAUUCUAUUCUUAAUAGGUCUCGUGAAGCUAACUUAAUAUCUUGGGGAAAAAUGCUUAACAUUCUAUGAUUCAUCACGCCGGGUUUCAAAAUUUAAUGAAUAAAUAAUUGAAAACAUUUCUCUUGAGUUAAGAACACCAACAAUAUUCUUACUCGUCUUUCUUUAAUAAUGGAAUUAUAAUUAACCAAUUAAAUCAUGAUGCAAUGCAUGACUCAUUUCAUACUUAAACAUAUAAUAAGUAUUUACUUAAAAUAUGCACAUAAUAAUAAGUUAAAUAUUAUUAUGCAAAUUAAAAUAAUUAAUCAAACUUAAUAAGUCUAAUUAAUAAAUAUUGGGUAGCCCAUUUAAAAUAAUAAUGCAGUCCAUCAAAUGAAAAAUCUGCACAAUCCAAGUAAUAAGGCCCAGCUGUUUUAAUUAAAUAAACUGAGCCCAAGUUACAAAAUAAAAAUCAGCCCAACCAGUUAAAAAAAAAUUCGGCCCAACAGCCCAACACUCAAACCCUAUACCCCUUCUUUCUCCCUUUUCUCGUCUCUCUGCCUCACAACGCACACACACAUACCAGCUGCGCAGCAGCACCCCUCUUCCUCCUUCUCUCUUCCGGCGGACGACGGCAGCCACCGCCGGACACGCCGUCGCCCCUUAACUCUCCUCUCCCUCAACUGCUCCUCUCUCCCUCGACUGCUCCAUCGUGCCCGGCGACGAGCGCCGCCCGGAACACUUCUCCCUCGACUCCUGUCACUCCCGCCGCCUCCCUCUCAAAAUCGACGGCCGCAGCAGCCGACAAGGCCUACCGCCGCCGCCUGACGUCCCUCGAAACAGACCAGCGAACAGCAGCAGUUAGUUGCAGCCAUCCCCUCAUCUCCCCUCGUUUCUCCUCUCCCCUUCUCCGGACAGAACGACGGUGGAGCCGCCGCCGCCGAACCCUAGGCUCCCAAAUCCGGUCUCCACUCGCUCCAAUUCUCGGCGACCAUAGCAAUAGCCAUGGCUGCCGCUGAUGACAAACGCUACAAGCCACCUGGAACCAAAGGUUCCCAAUUCCGACCUUCCCUUUCUAAAAUCCGACGACGACGGUCAGCAGCUUCACGCCACCACCGCCGUGCCCUAGCUACUGCCUCCAUCUUCCCUUUGUUCGGUCCGACAACAGCUAAUAGCCACCGCCGUUGCCGCCCUGACUCCCGACUCUCACAUCCCUUCCUCGACAGACACUCUCCAAGCAGAGAUACCCCACGAGUUCUAUUCUUGUUUUAGUUAUCAGUAUUUUCAUUUCAUGCACAUAUCUUAUGUUCUUAUGGAGCAGUGAUUGGUACACAAAUAAACAAAACAUAGGCAACAAAACUAUCAGUUCUUAUAUCUCAUUAUCUGUAUUCUCAUUGUAUGAAACAUUUACAUCUCGUUGUCUUUAUUGUUAUGUAAACUCAGUUAUAGAUGGACAUAUGAACAAACAUAAAGCUGUAUAUGUGUGUGUUUACUGCUAUGAAUUGAAGAAAAACCUUGAUAGGAAAGGCUGAGCUUUUUCUUGAUGUUAUGCCUGAGUGUUCUACUAGUUUGAGGAAGGGCUUUGAGUUGAGCCGUUGAAAUCUGAAAUGGUUCGAUUGCUUGAUUUGUGAGGAGAAUGAAUUGCUUUCUGUCUCAACUUGGCACAGCAAAUAAUUUGUAUGAAUUGAGUAAAGGAGAGCUUGGAUAUGGUAUACUUAUGGAUGCAGAGGAGUUAUGGAGCACUUGAUUGCCUAUGUUCAUAGGUGUAUGGCUUAAAGUUUAAUUGGGGUUGCUUUAAAGUGGUGGUAGUAGGUGACAGCUUAUUUUGAGGGAGGUAGGUGGUGUAUGUUAGGUGAGGGAGUAGGUGGGAGUAGUUGGUGGUUGUAGGAGAGUAUGGUCAAAAGUGGCUGGUGAAAAGACAUUGAGUGUGAGUGAGUUGAAUCAUUGAUUGGACAAUUAAAAUUUGUCAGGGUUGAAUUAUCGGGACUGUAAAAAUCUUUCAAGGUUCGGUAAAUAAAUGGCUCAUGUAAAUAAAACUAUAUGAAAUGCAUAUGAAUUUAAAUAACUCAAUGAAAUUAAAUAACUCAAAUUUUCAAAACUUUUGAAAAUCAUUUUUGUUGGAAUUAAAAUAAAUUGUUUUUUAUUUAUUUGGCGUGAAUCAAUCUAAUUCUAAGUUCAAAAUAAUUCUAAAUUUAGCUAAGAAAUAACGGGGUGUGACAUCCCUCCCUCCUUAUAAAAAUUUCGUCCUCGAAAUUGCAUACUUGGGAAAUCUAGUUUGGAGUACUAGACAUUCACUAUCAGUGCACCUACAUAGCUUGAUGCUUAUCACAUUUUCUAAUCGUGAGAAUGCUACGUCUCAUGUCUCGAGAACUGUUGAGAAACGAACUCAUUCUAAUCAUACUAUGCUUGUCGUGAUCAAAGAAGAUCUUAUUGGGACAACUAUAUAGUACGAGUUUAUACUUUGGGAUGACUAAAUUGACAAUCACCGAGAUCAUAGUCAUGUGGGCUGGCCAGACCCAGCACAACGAAUCACUCAGUCAAAUGGGAGCUUCGCCCCCAAUCAUGUCAACUUCUUAUCUCUUAUAAAGCUCUAAGUCAACUUCUAACUUAAAGCACUUACUUCUAAGUACUUCAAUCAUAAAUCUUUGGUAUUAUAUAGGUCCAUUCUAUGUCGUUCUAGCGGUGCUAUCACGACUAACAUUCGUAAGGCAUUAUUGGGUGGUUCUCAAACGAUUUGUAAAAGAACUCAUCAUUCUAAUCAUAUAGGUAGUGAACCUAAAAUGAUAACAUAAAGCUUUCUCAUCAUUCAUUCAUACAUAUAUUUGCUUUCUUUGAAAUUUUGAGUCAUAUGGACAUUAAAUGUCCCUUUCAUGAAAAACUUUGCUUAUGCCGGAAAGAUUCAAGGAAUCUAACUCGACCAUACAUACAUACAUACAUUGAUUCGUUAAGGGCUCGGGUUGUCCCAAACACGAAAUACAUUCAUUGAGUCGUUAUGGGUUCGGGUAGUCCCAAACACGACAAAAAAAAUCAUUCACAUAGCAUCAUAAACGUAAAGGCGCACAUUUUCUUUUUCUUGGAAACAUUCAUAACAUCUAAAAUACAUAUAUGUAUAUUUUUGAAACUAUUAUCGUACCUUUGUUGCGGCAGUGUGAUGGCGAGCUGAGGGCUACUGACAUUCUUAGAAGUCUAGAGAUACUAUUCUAGACUCGACAUCAAAAGCUUAUGGUUAUCAGAGUCAUGAAAGAAAACUUAUGCUCUGUCUCAUAUUCUAUCUCCUUACUCAACUCUAUAUAAACUCUCCACCCAUCUCAAAUCCUUAAGUUCAAGGAUAGGUUUCAAGAAAAUCAUGGUUCUAAGUCUCGAUUUAUCUCUCAUAUAAGGCUCGUCUAAUCUCAUUCAAACACAUAGACAACACAAUCACAUAAUGCACAUAAGAAUCACAAUCAAACAUCAUUAAAACAUGCUCUGUUUUUACACUGAUUCAACUUCAAAAUUUAAUCUGUUCUGACUCCGACAUCUCCUGGACUCGAGACUCAUACUGGAAGAAAGAUCUUCAAGUCUAGUUUCAUAUAAAAAAAAACGUAGAGUCGAAAACUCCAAGCGGUUUGAAGAUAUGACGUUUUUACCACGAUCUACCAUAUUCGGCAGUUUUGAGCAAUCGAAAACUUGGAUUUUUGAAAAAUAGUAAACGUUGUCAAACUGGGCUCAAAUUUGGUGGAUAUCUAGCUAACACAAUAAGGUUAAUACCAUAAAAAUUUGGAAAGCUAAUCACACAGGAAGCUACUGAAAUGAAUGACUCUUCCCUGUUCUCUAAAAUUCUCGGUAGUAAUGUGCAGUUUAGGUUUUGCAUUUGAAAGAAAUAUCAAACGAAGUCGGAAAGGCUUGAAAUUUUACCAGGGUACUCAAGAUUCAUGUCGGGACUUGCUAUAAAAUUUUCAAAGCUAUUAAACAUCGACAAACCGUCGAUCACACUAGGUCAAUAGGCCUACGAAAUUUCACCAAAAUCUCAUCUCGAACUCUUUAAAUGUUCAAGAUUAUAUACUUAACUGAUUUCACACAAUUAACACAUAGAUUUAUUAAUAACCCUAGUUUUUAUUAAACUAAAUCUUUUGAAAAUAUCACUAAUCAUGUAUAACCUAUUGAUCAAAUCAUAGAUCUAACAUCCUAGGUUACCAAUUAGCACAAAUCAACACCAUAAAACAAGAUCACAUAUAAUAAACAUAUAUGUCAUCUUCUUCCUCAAACUAACACUUUUCAUUUUUUUACUUCUCAACCUCUAGCUUCAAUCUCAUCCAUCAUUAAUUAUCUAGAUCAUCUCAUAAACUCAAAUCCAUCAUCAAUCAUCAUAUAACUCAAGCCAAUUUAAGAAAAUAAACAACAAAAUUUCGUAGGGUCUCAAGCCCCAAAUUUUCGAAAGUUAAGAAAAACAAGGAGGUGAAGUUUUCAUGCUUCAAUCAUCCAUCUACACACAUAUAUCUCAAUAUAGAGUCUAGAUCCAUAAGAUUAGAACACUUACUCAAGUAAAUCAAAGAGAAAAAUAAAAUCUUCUUUCCAACCUUCAAGCUUGUAUCUCCACUAAUCUUCUAGGUUUUACCAAGGAAAUAGAGGUGUUUAGAUCAAUAUCUUUGGAAGACUUGGGUGUAGAGAUGAUCUAAAAAAAAAGCUUGGUGUUCUUCGAUCAUGGAGGAUUAAUGGAGGAAAGGAAGAUUAGAGAGAGAAAAGGGUGAGGCCGUGAGUUAGGGAAGAAGUGAGAAUAAAGAGAAAGUGUUUUGUUUAAAAUCCUCCACUUGCUUCCAAA